rnacentral:rRNA from 1 species
GAUGAACGCUGACAGAAUGCUUAACACAUGCAAGUCGAUGGGGAAGUGGUGCUUGCACCAUGGCAACCAUGGCGGACGGGUGAGUAACGCGUAAGGGACUUACCUGCAGGACUGGGAUAACAGGGGGAAACUCCUGACAAGACCGGAUAAUGUCAUGGAGCUGCAUGGCUUUAUGAUGAAAGGAGACGCCUGCGGAGAGCCUUGCGUCCUAUUAGCUAGUUGGUGAGGUAAUGGCUCACCAAGGCGAAGAUAGGUAGCCGGCCUGAGAGGGUGGACGGCCACAAGGGGACUGAGAUACGGCCCUUACUCCUACGGGAGGCAGCAGUGGGGAAUAUUGGACAAUGGGGGCAACCCUGAUCCAGCAAUUCUGUGUGCACGAAGAAGGUUUUCGGAUUGUAAAGUGCUUUCAGCAGGGAAGAAGUAAGUGACGGUACCUGCAGAAGAAGCGACGGCAAAAUACGUG